rnacentral:rRNA from 1 species
UACGUAGGGUGCAAGCGUUGUCCGGAAUUAUUGGGCGUAAAGAGCUCGUAGGCGGUUUGUCGCGUCGAAUGUGAAAACCCGGGGCUCAACCCCGGGCCUGCAUUCGAUACGGGCAGACUAGAGUUCGGUAGGGGAGUCUGGAAUUCCUGGUGUAGCGGUGAAAUGCGCAGAUAUCAGGAGGGACACCGGUGGCGAAGGCGGGACUCUGGGCCGAUACUGACGCUGAGGAGCGAAAGCGUGGGGAGCGAACAGG